CCCUGGUAGUCCACGCCGUAAACGAUGUCGACUUGGAGGUUGUGCCCUUGAAGUGUGGCUUCCGGAGCUAACGCGUUAAGUCGACCGCCUGGGGAGUACGGCCGCAAGGUUAAAACUCAAAUGAAUUGACGGGGGCCCGCACAAGCGGUGGAGCAUGUGGUUUAAUUCGAUGCAACGCGAAGAACCUUACCUGGUCUUGACAUCCACGGAAGUUUUCAGAGAUGAGAA
rnacentral:rRNA from 1 species